rnacentral:rRNA from 1 species
UACGGAGGGUGCGAGCGUUGUCCGGAAUCACUGGGCGUAAAGGGCGCGUAGGUGGCCUGCUAAGCGUGCGGUGAAAGUCGGGGGCUCAACCCCCGAUCGGCCGUGCGAACUGGGAGGCUUGAGCACUGUAGAGGCAGGCGGAAUUCCGGGUGUAGCGGUGGAAUGCGUAGAGAUCCGGAAGAACACCGGUGGCGAAGGCGGCCUGCUGGGCAGUUU